AACGAACGCUGGCGGCGUGCUUAACACAUGCAAGUCGAACGCGAAAGGGACUUCGGUCCUGAGUAAAGUGGCGCACGGGUGAGUAACGCGUAGAUAACCUGUCUUCAUGUCUGGAAUAAUACGCCGAAAGGGGUACUAAUACCGGAUAUCCUUGCUUUUCAUAAGUUAUGCAAGCAAAGGUGGCCUCUGCAUAUGCUACUGCAUGAGGAGGGGUCUGCGUACCAUUAGCUAGUAGGUGGGGUAAUGGCCUACCUAGGCGACGAUGGUUAGCGGGUCUGAGAGGAUGAUCCGCCACACUGGCACUGGAACACGGGCCAGACUCCUACGGGAGGCAGCAGUGAGGAAUAUUGCGCAAUGGGGGAAACCCUGACGCAGCGACGCCGCGUGAGUGAGGAAGGCCUUCGGGUCGUAAAGCUCUGUCAAGAGGAAAGAAGUGUACAAUGGCUAAUACCUGUUGUAUUUGACGGUACCUCUAAAGGAAGCACCGGCUAACUCCGUGCCAGCCGCCGC
rnacentral:rRNA from 1 species